AGUGAACGCUGGCGGUAGGCCUAACACAUGCAAGUCGAACGGCAGCACGGUAAGAGCUUGCUCUUACGGGUGGCGAGUGGCGGACGGGUGAGGAAUACAUCGGAAUCUACUUUUUCGUGGGGGAUAACGUAGGGAAACUUACGCUAAUACCGCAUACGACCUACGGGUGAAAGCAGGGGAUCUUCGGACCUUGCGCGAUUGAAUGAGCCGAUGUCGGAUUAGCUAGUUGGCGGGGUAAAGGCCCACCAAGGCGACGAUCCGUAGCUGGUCUGAGAGGAUGAUCAGCCACACUGGAACUGAGACACGGUCCAGACUCCUACGGGAGGCAGCAGUGGGGAAUAUUGGACAAUGGGCGCAAGCCUGAUCCAGCCAUACCGCGUGGGUGAAGAAGGCCUUCGGGUUGUAAAGCCCUUUUGUUGGUAAAGAAAAGCAGCAGGUUAAUACCCCGCUGUUCUGACGGUACCCAAAGAAUAAGCACCGGCUAACUUCGUG
rnacentral:rRNA from 1 species